AACGAACGCUGGCGGCAUGCCUAACACAUGCAAGUCGAACGAGACCUUCGGGUCUAGUGGCGCACGGGUGCGUAACGCGUGGGAACCUGCCCUUAGGUUCGGAAUAACUCCCCGAAAGGGGUGCAAUACCGGAUAAUGUCUUCGGACCAAAGAUUUAUCGCCUUUGGAUGGGCCCGCGUUGGAUUAGCUAGUUGGUAGGGUAAAAGCCUACCAAGGCGACGAUCCAUAGCUGGUCUGAGAGGAUGAUCAGCCACACUGGGACUGAGACACGGCCCAGACUCCUACGGGAGGCAGCAGUGGGGAAUAUUGGACAAUGGGCGAAAGCCUGAUCCAGCAAUGCCGCGUGAGUGAUGAAGGCCUUAGGGUUGUAAAGCUCUUUUACCCGGGAUGAUAAUGACAGUACCGGGAGAAUAAACUCCGGCUAACUCCGUG
rnacentral:rRNA from 1 species